rnacentral:rRNA from 1 species
UACGUAGGGCGCAAGCGUUGUCCGGAAUUAUUGGGCGUAAAGAGCUCGUAGGCGGUUUGUCGCGUCUGCUGUGAAAACCUAAGGCUCAACCUUGGGCUUGCAGUGGGUACGGGCAGACUAGAGUGCGGUAGGGGUGACUGGAAUUCCUGGUGUAGCGGUGGAAUGCGCAGAUAUCAGGAGGAACACCGGUGGCGAAGGCGCCACUCUGGGCCGAAACUGACGCUGAGGAGCGAAAGCGUGGGUAGCAAACAGG